ensembl:lncRNA
AGAAGUGUGAAGUUUUAAUGAAAUAUGAUGCAAUCCUCUUUCUCCACAACAACAUGGAUUAAACCUCGAUGGUUGGACUAUGUAGAUAGUUUUAUAACAAACGUUGGAGUGCAAGAAAAAAAAGAUCUUCAAUGGUAAGACUUGUCUGUUGUGCCUCCUUUGGUGUAUAACGUGAGUUUUAUUCAGGCAUAGCGUGUGUAAUGUGUAGGCUAUUUCAUUCCGUUUGUUAACCUUUCCUGCUGUCUGUCUCUGACCGUAGGCUAGUUGGAGAUUGCAGGGGAGACUCAAUGCUCAAUGCUUAGUUCAAUUCUCCAGGGCCGAAGUAUUACAUGUUCUUAACUUCGGGGUUAAUUCCCGUUCCUUUCCGUCUGCUGCUGGUUAGUAAAUAAAUGCCCACUAAGUAUGAAGAAUGUUGCAACAGGUGACAGGUUGUUGAUUCAUUAUUCAUAAAUAUGGGAUGCACUUAAGAGGAAUGUCUUUCGUCUAGAUUUAAAGAUGGAAAGGGUGUCCAGUUCUCAGAUGGAAGCAGGAAGAUUGUUCCACAGAAGGGGGGCUCAAUAGCAGAAGGCUUUGCCUCCUAUUGUGCUAUUUUGAAUUACAAGGAGACCUGCACUCUGGAAACGAGGUGGUCUUGGUUGGCAGUGGGGGACAAAUAAUUCCUUAAGGCAAAUUUCUUUGGCUUCUCAGGGCAAAGUGAAUGAUUUCAUGAACCUGCAUCAAAGACAAGAGGGAG